rnacentral:tRNA from 1 species
GUUAUGGUACACAAGUGGUCAAAGUGGUUGGCUUUAGGAUGAACUUUCUAUGUAACAAUUAGAGAAAAAUAUAUUCUAUCGCCAAUGCCCUCAGGGCUUCGUGCGUUCAAACCGCACCCAUAGCA